AAAGCCGGGAGUCCAGUGAACGGGCAGAAGCAGGGCCAUGCCCAAGCCACCCCCAAGAUCCCCCUGAACCUGCACCUCCAUCACGACCCAUUCAGGAGCCUCCAGGAGCCCAGACACCAGCCCCCCACCAUGGGCAGCAAGGAGCGCUUCCACUGGCAGAGCCACAACGUGAAGCAGAGCGGCGUGGAUGACAUGGUGCUUCUUCCCCAGAUCACCGAAGACGCCAUCGCCGCCAACCUCCGGAAGCGCUUCAUGGACGACUACAUCUUCACCUACAUCGGCUCCGUGCUCAUCUCUGUAAACCCCUUCAAGCAGAUGCCCUACUUCACCGACCGUGAGAUCGACCUCUAUCAGGGCGCGGCCCAGUAUGAGAAUCCCCCGCACAUCUACGCCCUCACGGACAACAUGUACCGGAACAUGCUUAUCGACUGUGAGAACCAGUGUGUCAUCAUUAGUGGAGAGAGUGGAGCUGGGAAGACAGUGGCAGCCAAAUAUAUCAUGGGCUACAUCUCCAAGGUGUCUGGCGGAGGCGAGAAGGUCCAGGUGAGACGAGGAAAACAGAAGGAUGAGCUGGGUCACCCUCACCUGCAUGGUAGUGCAGCCCCACCCAUCUGCACUCCUGCCUCAGUCUGACUUCUUCCCACUCCACCUGCCUCUGCCCCAGCACGUCAAAGAUAUCAUCCUGCAGUCCAACCCGCUGCUCGAGGCCUUCGGCAACGCCAAGACUGUGCGCAACAACAAUUCCAGCCGCUUUGGCAAGUACUUUGAGAUCCAGUUCAGCCGAGGUGGGGAGCCAGAUGGGGGCAAGAUCUCCAACUUCUUGCUGGAGAAGUCCCGCGUGGUCAUGCAAAAUGAAAAUGAGAGGAACUUCCACAUCUACUACCAGCUGCUGGAAGGGGCCUCCCAGGAGCAAAGGCAGAACCUGGGCCUC
rnacentral:sRNA from 1 species